UACGGAGGGUGCAAGCGUUAUCCGGAUUCACUGGGUUUAAAGGGUGCGUAGGUGGGCAGGUAAGUCAGUGGUGAAAUCUCCGGGCUUAACCCGGAAACUGCCAUUGAUACUAUCUGUCUUGAAUACCGUGGAGGUGAGCGGAAUACGUCAUGUAGCGGUGAAAUGCUUAGAUAUGACAUAGAACACCAAUUGCGAAGGCAGCUCACUACACGAAUAUUGACACUGAGGCACGAAAGCGUGGGGAUCAAACAGG
rnacentral:rRNA from 1 species